rnacentral:lncRNA from 1 species
ACUUUUUGAAGGAUUUCGAAGGGUGAAAAGUUUCCCAUAAAUUUUUAAAUAUAUAAUACUUCCAAGAGAUGAAUUUUGGGUGAUUUACCUAAAAGUAACUUAACUUUUAAGAACAUGGGCAGCAGCGUCCUGAUGCUCCGUCCCACACCAUUAUUGGAAAAAAUAAAUAAAAAACAAACAAAACAAUGUGGGACGUUUCUAAUAUUGCGACGUCCUUUGCCCUCUUUCUUCACUAUUCGCGGGGCCCACUGACA